rnacentral:rRNA from 1 species
UAAUACUCCAUAGAUUAGAGAAACUGGAAUGUUCUUUAAUCGAAAGUUCCGGCGCCAUAGGAUGGAUCUGCGGCCGAUUAGGUAGUUGUUGGGGUAACGGCCCAACAAGCCUGUAAUCGGUACGGGUUGUGGGAGCAAGAGCCCGGAGAUGGAAUCUGAGACACGAUUCCAGGCCCUACGGGGCGCAGCAGGCGCGAAAACUUUACAAUGCAGGAAACUGUGAUAAGGGAACCCCGAGUGCCCGUAUACGCGGGCUGUCCAGGUGUCUAAAACGCAUCUGAAGAAAGGGCCGGGCAAGACCGGUGCCAGCCGCCGCGGUAAUACCGGCGGCUCGAGUGGUGACCACUUUUAUUGGGCUUAAAGCGUUCGUAGCUGGACUCUUAAGUCUCUUGGGAAAUCCCGCGGCUUAACCGUGGGGCGUUUAAGAGAUACUGAGAGUCUAGGAACCGGGAGAGGUAAGAGGUACUUCGGGGGUAAAAGUGAAAUUCUGUAAUCCUCGAGGGACCACCGAUGGCGAAGGCAUCUCACCAGAACGGCUUCGACAGUGAGGGACGAAAGCUGGGGGAGCAAACCGGAUUAAAUACCCGGGUAGUCCCAGCCGUAAACGAUGCGCGUUAGGUGU